AGGAGACUGUCGCACAUUACACAAUGCACCUACUGUACUACAGGAACUAACGUUAGAGAACUCCUGGACCUGUGCGACAGUUAGCUCACUGCUAGCAGGCUGAUAACGAUGAAGAUGCCGUUAUUAUGUCUGUAGGAGAGUUUAAUGGAGACUGACAGCUGACGGUGAGCAGAGGAUGGACUUCACCAGGACUCUUCUGGUGACCGGAGGCGCUGGAUUCAUGUGAGUUCAGAUAGUGAGGAAGGUAGUGAGGAAGGUAGUGAGGAAGGUAGUGAGUUCAGAUAGUGAGGAAGGUAGUGAGGGAGGUAGUGAGUUCAGAUAGUGAGGAAGGUAGUGAGUUCAGAUAGUGAGGAAGGUAGUGAGGAAGGUAAUGAGGAAGGUAGUGAGGAAGGUAGUGAGGGAGGUAGUGAGGAAGGUAGUGAGGAAGGUAAUGAGGAAGGUAGUGAGGAAGGUAGUGAGGAAGGUAAUGAGGAAGGUAGUGAGUUCAGAUAGUGAGGAAGGUAGUGAGGAAGGUAGUGAGGAAGGUAAUGAGGAAGGUAGUGAGGAAGGUAGUGAGGAAGGUAGUGAGUUCAGAUAGUGAGGAAGGUAGUGAGGAAGGUAGUGAGGAAGGUAGUGAGGAAGGUAGUGAGGAAGGUAAUGAGGAAGGUAGUGAGGGAGGUAGUGAGGAAGGUAGUGAGGAAGGUAAUGAGGAAGGUAGUGAGGAAGGUAGUGAGGAAGGUAAUGAGGAAGGUAGUGAGUUCAGAUAGUGAGGGAGGUAGUGAGGAAGGUAGUGAGGAAGGUAAUGAGGAAGGUAGUGAGUUCAGAUAGUGAGGAAGGUAGUGAGGAAGGUA